rnacentral:rRNA from 1 species
UUCGCCUACGGGAGGCAGCAGUGGGGAAUAUUGGACAAUGGGGGGAACCCUGAUCCAGCGACGCCGCGUGAGUGAAGAAGUAUUUCGGUAUGUAAAGCUCUCUCAGCAGGGAAGAAAGAAUUGACGGUACCUGCAAAGGAAGCACCGGCUAACUCCGUGCCAGCAGCCGCGGUAAUACGGAGGGUGCGAGCGUUAAUCGGAAUUACUGGGCGUAAAGCGCUCGUAGGCGGUAUGUCAAGUCAAGGGUGAAAUCCCCGCGCUCAACGUGGGAACUGCCUUUGAAACUGGCAAACUGGAGUGUGUGG